UCUGACAAGUUGAAACAACAAGUGUUAGUACAGAUUUUUCAUGGUACAAAAUCAUUUCAUUCUCUCCACAAAAACAUUUUUGUAAUGGCCUUGAAUCACUGAUAGGAAAUGAUCAUGUCAACAAACACACAAUUUCAUUGGUGCCCAAACACUUUGACCUGAGGGCCAAAUAAUUUCCCUUAUCUGUCUGUCAAAGGCUGUACCAAACAAAAUUUGUCAGGUUCUGAGCUUCUGCCACUUCAUUAUGCACUCUGGGCAGAAGGUUUAACAGGCUGGACAGUGCCACAGGCUGGGCAUCAUUGUUCUAACACUCAAUGAAAACAAAACUCAGUAGCUUGUAUUUAAAAAAACAAAACAAAUAAUGCUUUACUGUGUAGAUCUUUGUUACUAACAAGGCAACAAGCAAUCAAACCAAACAAGAAAGAAAGAAUCAAUGGUGUCACACGAGGGUUGGCUGACACCAAUCCUAGUGAUGCCACUGAAGAUAUAUAAUAUAAUAACAUACCUUGAUUUACUUCAGAAAGUUACAUUUGUUUCACUCUGUGACUGGCCAUGUGUUCACAAAGACAAGAUUAACCUCUGUAAAGACUGGCACACAUUUCAGUUUACAAGCAUUGACUUUAUGGUCUCAAUGUUUUGCAGAUUCCAUUUCAUCACCAGAGAUAAGACUCUAAUUACAUACUUUUGUUAUCUUGGUUCAACUGAAAAUCAGGGGAGAUAAGUUUCACCCACAUGUUAAAUGCUUUUAUUGUGUCCGAACAAGGAGUCCACAAAAAGAUACCCUGUUGAGCUGUUGUAGCCCCAAAGUUGGUCCAGAUAGAAAUCCCUUUUUUUUGAUGCAUUCUUUAAACAAUGUGAAAACAAACAGCAAAAAACAAAACAAACUCUAAUGUCCUAGAUAACUUAUUGUCCAGAACCAAGCAAUGAACUAAAAUAAAAAGAGACUAGACAACAAAGAGCUAACUCCUGUAUAAUACAAUUAGAAUCCGUUAAAAGAAAGAAAACUUAUUCUGAAAAGUAAAGUGUCCUAUCUAGUGUUCAGACUCUUCUCCAGACAUUCAACAAUCAAAUAACAACUGAGCCUAGAGGUGAUGUACAUUUGUGAACAAUUAAAUUGCUUUAAUUUCUAGAAUAAAUUACAGCAUACACAAAAUUUGCAUAAAUUUAAAUAUACCUUAAUUAAGAGCAAAAGAAAAAUAAAAAAAUCAAUUAACAUAUUACAAAAAUAAUAAUAAAAUCUGUAAACACAAAAAAAGUUUUAAAAAUAAAAAAAAAAUAUUUGGCUUCAGUUCUAAACCUUUGUUCCAACCAGGCAAUAAGUUAGGAAAUAGCCGCUAUAUAAUAUUAGCACAACCAAAACUUGGUACUAGAGAUAGCCGCUAUAUAAUAUUAGCACAACUCAAACUUUGUAC